rnacentral:rRNA from 1 species
AUGCAUGUUGAUACUAUAAUGGAAUCUCGUGAUGCAACAUUUUUUGAGAACAUAUUUCCUAUGAAAGAUAUGCAUAGCAUUGCUAGAUUUUCUUCUGAGAUAAUUCCUGAAUCUAGUACAACUGAUGAAUAUUUCGAACAAUCACAUGAGGAAGUCCUUGAGAAGGAUAACAAUGAAGUUCCUAGAAGGAACAAGAGACAAAGGAUUGCAAAAUCCUUUGGUGAUGAUUUCAUUGUAUACCUUGUGGACGACACACCCAAGACGAUUGCAGAAGCAUAUGCAUCUCCGGAUGUAGAUGAUUGGAAAGAAGCUGUUCAUGAUGAGAUGGACUCAAUUCUUUCUAAUGGAACUUGGGAACUAACUGAUAGACCAUAUGGUUGUAAACCCGUGGGCUGUAAGUGGGUGUUCAAAAAUAAGCUAAAGCCUGAUGGUACUAUUGAUAAGUACAAGGCGCAGCUAGUGGCCAAGGGCUACACUCAGAAAGAAGGCGAAGAUUACUUUGACACCUAUUCACCCGUUGCUAGAAUGACCACCAUUCGAGUGUUACUUUCCUUGGCUGCCUCUUAUGGUCUUAUCAUUCAUCAAAUGGAUGUAAAGAUAGCUUUUCUCAAUGGAGAGUUGGAAGAGGAGAUCUAUAUGGAUCAGCCUGACGGGUUUGUGGUAAAGGGUGAAGAGAGAAAGGUGUGCAAGUUGUUAAAAUCUUUGUAUGGUCUGAAACAGGCACCUAAGCAAUGGCAUGAGAAGUUUGAAAGAACUCUGACUUCUGCAGGAUUUGUCAUUAACGAGGCUGAUAGGUGUGUUUAUUAUCGCCAUGGUGGGGGCAAUAGUGUCAUAUUAUGUUUGUAUGUGGACGACAUACUGAUCUUUGGUACAAACAUUAAUGCAAUUAAUGAGGUCAAGUCUUUUCUAUCAAAAAGUUUUGACAUGAAAGAUCUGGGAGAAGCCGAUGUAAUUCUAAACAUCAAACUUAUUAAGGAUGAGAGUGGGAUUACAUUAACGCAAUCUCACUAUGUUGAGAAGGUCUUGAACCGAUUCGGUUUUAUGGAUAGCAAGCCUUCUCCAACACCUUAUGAUCCCAGCGUGACACUCAAAAAGAACAAGAAAGAAACGAGAGAUCAAUUAAGAUACUCUCAAAUUGUCGGUUCACUCAUGUACUUAGCUAGCGCUACAAGACUAGAUAUCUCUUUUGCUGUGAGCAAACUGAGUAGGUUCAUGUCCAACCCGGGUGAUGAUCAUUGGCAUGCACUAGAAAGGGUCUUGCGCUAUCUGAGAGGUACUAUGAGUUACAGAAUUACUUAUUCAGGGCAUCCUGCUGGGCUAGAAGGAUAUAGUGAUUCAAAUUGGAUCUCCGAUGUUGAUGUACUUUACGCAACAAGUGGGUAUGUAUUUACUCAUGGUGGUGGCGCAGUGUCAUGGAGGUCUUGCAAGCAAACCAUAUUGACGAGGUCAACUAUGGAAGCAGAAUUAACUGCUUUGGACACAGCUACUGUUGAGGCAGAAUGGCUGCGUGAGCUCUUGAUGGACUUGCCGGUUGUUGAAAAACCUGUACCGGCUAUUCUUAUGAAUUUUGAUAACCAAACGGUUAUCGCUAAAGUGAACAAUUCUAAAGAUAAUGCAAAGUCAUCAAGACACGUGAAAAGACGUUUGAAGUCUGUCAGGAAGUUGAGAAACUCCGGAGUAAUAACUGUUACGUAUAUACAAACAGACAAAAACCUGGCAGAUCCCUUUACAAAGGGACUAUCACGAAAUGUGAUAGAUAUUGCAUCGAGGGAGAUGGGUAUGAGACCCAUA